rnacentral:rRNA from 1 species
UACGUAGGGUCCAAGCGUUAUCCGGAAUCACUGGGCGUAAAGCGUGCGUAGGCGGUCGCUUGCGUGAGAUGCGAAAUCUUACGCUCAACCAUGUAGACGGUAUCUCAUACGGGGCGACUAGAGGACGGCAGAGGCAAGUGGAAUUACUAGUGUAGCAGUGAAAUGCGUAGAUAUUAGUAGGAACACCAAUGGCGAGGGCAGCUUGCUGGGCCGUAUCUGACGCUGAGGUACGAAAGCGUGGGGAGCGAACAGG